UCUUAUGUACAUGCCUACAAUGUUAAUGCAUCAGAUCCCAUCAAAACUCCAUAGUUAAGAACACUUGGGAAAGAGUAGUACCGGGAUGGGUUCCCUUCUAGAAAUUCCUAGUGUUUUACAU
rnacentral:rRNA from 1 species